rnacentral:rRNA from 1 species
UGUAUUUAUUAGAUAAAAAACCAAUGCCCUUCGGGGCUCUUUGGUGAUUCAUGAUAACUUAACGGAUCGCAUGGCCUUGCGCCGGCGACGGUUCAUUCAAAUUUCUGCCCUAUCAACUUUCGAUGGUAAGGUAUUGGCUUACCAUGGUUUCAACGGGUAACGGGGAAUUAGGGUUCGAUUCCGGAGAGGGAGCCUGAGAAACGGCUACCACAUCCAAGGAAGGCAGCAGGCGCGCAAAUUACCCAAUCCCGACACGGGGAGGUAGUGACAAUAAAUACUGAUACAGGGCUCUUUUGGGUCUUGUAAUUGGAAUGAGUACAAUUUAAACCCCUUAACGAGGAACAAUUGGAGGGCAAGUCUGGUGCCAGCAGCCGCGGUAAUUCCAGCUCCAAUAGCGUAUAUUAAAGUUGUUGCAGUUAAAAAGCUCGUAGUUGAACCUUGGGCCUGGCUGGCCGGUCCGCCUCACCGCGUGUACUGGUCCGGCCGGGCCUUUCCUUCGGGAAAGCUCCUGGCCCUUCAUGGGGCUUGUGGGGAAACAAGAACUUUAACAACCACAAUGGAAUUCCCGCCCCCCGGCAGGUCAA